rnacentral:rRNA from 1 species
GAUGAACGCUAGCUACAGGCUUAACACAUGCAAGUCGAGGGGCAGCAUGGACAUAGCUUGCUAUGUUUGAUGGCGACCGGCGCACGGGUGCGUAACACGUAUCCAAUCUGCCCGUUACUCGGGAUAGCCUUCUGAAAGGAAGAUUAAUACCCGAUGGCAUGUAUUUCCGGCAUCGGAGAUACAUUAAAGAUUUAUCGGUAACGGAUGAGGAUGCGUACGAUUAGCUUGUUGGCGGGGUAACGGCCCACCAAGGCGACGGUCGUUAGGGUUCUGAGAGGAAGGUCCCCCACACUGGAACUGAGACACGGUCCAGACUCCUACGGGAGGCAGCAGUGGGGAAUAUUGGGCAAUGGGCGAAAGCCUGACCCAGCGACGCCGCGUGAAGGAAGAAGGUCUUCGGAUUGUAAACUUUUGUCAACAGGGAAGAAGAAAGUGACGGUACCUGUUAAGAAAGCCACGGCUAACUACGUG